rnacentral:tRNA from 1 species
GCGGGGGUGCCCGAGCUGGUCGAAGGGGGCGGACUCAAGAUCCGCUGGCGAAGGCCAUCCGGGGUUCAAAUCCCCGCCCCCGCA